GAGUUUGAUCCUGGCUCAGAUUGAACGCUGGCGGCAGGCCUAACACAUGCAAGUCGAGCGGUAGAGAGAAGCUUGCUUCUCUUGAGAGCGGCGGACGGGUGAGUAAUGCCUAGGAAUCUGCCUGGUAGUGGGGGAUAACGCUCGGAAACGGACGCUAAUACCGCAUACGUCCUACGGGAGAAAGCAGGGGACCUUCGGGCCUUGCGCUAUCAGAUGAGCCUAGGUCGGAUUAGCUAGUUGGUGAGGUAAUGGCUCACCAAGGCGACGAUCCGUAACUGGUCUGAGAGGAUGAUCAGUCACACUGGAACUGAGACACGGUCCAGACUCCUACGGGAGGCAGCAGUGGGGAAUAUUGGACAAUGGGCGAAAGCCUGAUCCAGCCAUGCCGCGUGUGUGAAGAAGGUCUUCGGAUUGUAAAGCACUUUAAGUUGGGAGGAAGGGCAGUAAAUUAAUACUUUGCUGUUUUGACGUUACGACAGAAUAAGCACCGGCUAACUCUGUGCCAGCCGCCG
rnacentral:rRNA from 1 species